AUAUAUAUAUAUAUAUAUGCCAUCAGUUUAAGAACAAUAAAAUAAACAAUUUACUUAGCAAAUGGUGAUAAUGUUUGUUAAUGAAAGAGAGUACGGGACAAAUUAACAUUUAAACCUUAAACUAGCAGCGCACGUCACUUUCUGAAUGAGGUGCGCGACGUGCGCGUGCCCGUCAUUUUGUAACGGUCAACUUCCAGCGGACGGACACGGAGGAAAGGUAAGUCCUAUAAAUCUACUUUUAUUCAUAGAUUUUAACUGAUAUAACGUUAAAUGCCAUCAAAGAGGAGUAGUGUUUUGUAUUUUUGUAGGUUUUCUCUUUCAAUUUAAUAAAUAAAUGCUCUGUUUGGUUAAUUAGCUCAAAAGCAGUCUCAGAGGUGGUCUAAGGUAACGGUAACUGUUAAAAUCGAAUAUAACCUUACCUAGUUUAAAUUAUUUGAAAUUUAUCACUAUAAACUAUACAGUGUUAACUUUCUAAUAAUUUAAUUUUUAACCGUAGUAACGUUAAUUAGUUUGUUUGAAUGCCUGCUGCUCGAGCUUGAUGAUGCUCAUGCUAUCCAUGCUGUGAACUUGAAUAUAAACCGAUAGAACGUUAAAUAUAAAGUUUAACGUUAAUUAGACCGAGGCUGCCGAAAUCAUGUUCAGUGUAACGUUAUGUGGGAUUAAUAAUUUCCCCUUUUCUCCCUCAAGUGGCAGGCUUGUAAAUUCUGUCAUCUGUUCAUUAUUGGUGUUGAUGGUGUUUUUCACAUGCAUGCUUUUUAAUGCUAGUUUAAUUCUCAAAUUGAUCUGAUACUUUCGUUCCACAAAAAGUAAACACAUUUUUCACUUUCUUAGGGCCUGACAACCACCAGUUGAGUCCAUGAUUCAGGGAAGAGACAGUCUGGGCAGCAGCAACAAGACAACUAUUACAAGUAGAGAUGGGUUUCAAGAACUGACACAACCACAUAUCCUCCAAAUCAUCUCUGCGUGGAUGGCAGCAAGGAUCCAGGAUCAAGAGAUCAUUCAUCAUGGAGACUGUUCCACAGGAAGCAGUUUCUCCUGGGUGAAAAACUAAACCUGGUUGUUUCAGCAUCACUCAGGCAAGACUUAAUACUUUUAAAUUGAUUUCAGUUGGUUAUGUGUUUCAGGUCAUCCUGACCAUUCUGCUGUUCUGGAUGUAAGGCCGUGCUGCAACUACAUUUCUCGUGGUUGAAAGAUUUGUGGAGCGGUAUCCAGACAUAUAACGCCCCAUCACACGGGGCGUCAACGCCUCUCGUUUACUUUUAAAUGAAGUGACGUCAAGCAUGGUGAAAUUAAUUCUAGAAAUUAAUUCUAAAUAGAAGUUGAAGACUUCUCAAGCGCCAAUGCAGCCGUCCUCCAGUCAGAACAUCCUAUGCAAAUACCCUAGCGCAGACGCAAGCCAAUCGAGUGCAUGCAAUACCAGAAAACUAAUGUGAUUGGCUGUCACUAUGAGAAGAGACAGUAAUUCUGAUCCGAUAUCAGUGUCGUUUUUUGCAAAAAAAAAUUUAAAUCAAUGUAGAAUUUUCUAUACUUCUGUGUAGGGAUGUCAAUUUUCAAUCAUUUCCAUGAUCGAUCGUUGUUUAAAUUAAUGAACAAAUAAUCGAUUAAUCGUUAACCUUAUAUAUAAUAUAAUAUAUAUAUAUAUAUAUAAAACUGUAAAUAUAUAUAUUUUACAGUAAAGACCAAAAGUUUGGACACACCUUCUCAUUCAAAGAGUUUUCUUUAUUUUCAUGACUAUGAAAAUUGUAGAGUCACACUGAAGGCAUCAAGGGCUAUUUGAGCAAGAAGGAGAGUGAUGAUGACCUGGCCUCCACAGUCACCGGACCUGAACCCAAUCCAGAUGGUUUAGGGGUGAGCUGGACCGCAGACAGAAGGACAAAGGGCCAACAAGUGCUAAGCAUCUCUCGGGGAACUCCUUCAAGACUGUUGGAAGACCAUUUCAGGUGACUACAUCUUGAAGCUCAUCAAGAGAAAGCCAAGAGUGUGCAAAGCAGUAAUCAAAGCAAAAGAAGAACCUACAAUAUGACAUAUUUUCAGUUGUUUCACACUUUUUUUGUUAUGUAUAUAAUUCCAUAUAUAAU